rnacentral:rRNA from 1 species
GACGAACGCUGGCGGCGUGCUUAACACAUGCAAGUCGAACGGAAAGGCCCUGCUUUUGUGGGGUGCUCGAGUGGCGAACGGGUGAGUAACACGUGAGUAACCUGCCCUUGACUUUGGGAUAACUUCAGGAAACUGGGGCUAAUACCGAUAGGAGCUCCUGCUGCAUGGUGGGGGUUGGAAAGUUUCGGCGGUUGGGGAUGGACUCGCGGCUUAUCAGCUUGUUGGUGGGGUAGUGGCUUACCAAGGCUUUGACGGGUAGCCGGCCUGAGAGGGUGACCGGCCACAUUGGGACUGAGAUACGGCCCAGACUCCUACGGGAGGCAGCAGUGGGGAAUAUUGCACAAUGGGCGGAAGCCUGAUGCAGCAACGCCGCGUGCGGGAUGACGGCCUUCGGGUUGUAAACCGCUUUCGCCUGUGACGAAGCGUGAGUGACGGUAAUGGGUAAAGAAGCACCGGCUAACUACGUG